rnacentral:ncRNA from 1 species
GACAAAACAAUGAGAGGGACAGUAGUCCUUUCAAACCCUUUAUGACAGCGAACCGGGGACGGUGGAAGCCCGGGUAAAGGCGAAAGGAUGAACAUCACCCUUGAGUCCAUAGCUGAAACAUGCUAGUAGGCUGUGGCGGCCAAGUCCGUUAUGUUUAUGAGUGGAUGUGCAUGAUUUGUGCGCAUCUAAAAGGGUGGUACCGCGAGAUUCCUCCUCGUCCCUUAG